UGGGCACAAUAAUAAACAGAAACAGUAUGGACCUAACAGAAGAAGAUGAUAUUAAGGAGUAGCAAGAGGUUGGGUCCAGGCAGGAGGCGGGACUUCCGCUCCAUUGUGGGUGUUUGUAAAGUGCUGCCCAAUUACCCUUGAACAUAGUUGAAACCGAAAAUAGGAAGAUGGCAGCAAACCCUUCAGGACAAGGUUUUCAAAACAAAAAUAGAGUUGCAAUCUUGGCAGAACUGGACAAAGAAAAAAGAAAAUUACUAAUGCAGAACCAAUCUUCAACAAAUCAUCCUGGAGCUAGCAUUGCGCUCUCGAGACCCGCUCUCAACAAGGACUUCCGGGACCACGCUGAGCAGCAGCAUAUUGCAGCCCAGCAGAAGGCAGCUUUGCAGCAUGCACAUGCACAUUCAUCAGGACACUUCAUAACUCAAGAUUCUGCAUUUGGGAAUCUCAUUCUUCCUGUUUUACCUCGCCUUGACCCAGAAUGAAGAAAAUAUUUGUAACGGAAGUGACUUGGUAACAUCAGAUGCCAAAGCCACUAACAUUCAGUGCUGUACAAACCGUGACUUUCAGAAGUUUGGUGGACUUUUUUAUAUAUUUUGUUUCUUUAAAAGAAAGAUAAGUAUAAGUGAAAGCAAAAAAAAGGAGAGUGACCAGGAUGAUGAAAGCUCUGGAAGCUGUAUUAUCUGGGAACUGAUGCUGCUGCUCAGGACUAUAAUCUGUGUGUAAGGCCGUUUGAUUUUUAAUUCUGAAUCAGACCCCAAAGUGGAUGUGGUCACACAACCCACCUCCCAAACUAGUUGGACUGAAUAUAUCAUGUCUACAGUAGACUUUCAAGAACCAUUUAAAGUACUUUAUGAACAAAUGAGGGUGCUUUUUAAAAAUGUGAACCAGUAGGCUUAAGUUACAUUCACAUUUGCUGUUUAUAGAAUUGAUACCAGUGUACCUUUUGUGUUUAUAGUCAUCAUAUCCUAAAAUAUCCUUUAACUGGUAACUAGUUUGCCUAUUCUCAAUUUUAAAAGAAAACCCGAGAUGCGAGUAAAUUACCUGCCAGUCGUAAAUACCUUUUAUAAAUCUAUGCCGCUGUAAAUUAUGUGACUAAAUGCUAUUAAAAACAAUAAGAAAUACAGUUGUAAA